GGAAGAGCUCAAAUUUAAAAUCUGGCGGCCUAAGGUCGUCCGAGUUGUAGUCUAGAGAAGUGUUUUCCGUGCUGGACCGUGUACAAGUCCCUUGGAACAGGGCGUCAUAGAGGGUGAGAAUCCCGUCUUUGACACGGACUACCAGUGCUCUGUGAUGCACUCUCGAA
rnacentral:rRNA from 1 species